ensembl:lncRNA
UUCACAGUUCAGCACAAAGACAGCUAAUACUACAAAGGAGAGGAUAAGGACCCAGAAACAUUUAUUCAACAAAUACACAUUGAGGGUCUAUUCCAGUUUUCCCAUCAGGACAAAGAUUUCUGAAAAGACAGAGGCGAGUUCCUUUAGACAUCACCGAAAGCAAACGACGCUCGAGGGACAGUCGCAAAUGAACCAAGGGAAGCUGCAGCCAAACGGAACGCGACAAACAACUGUCAUCUUCCAAAUGGCCAAUCAGAAGCUGGGACAACUUGAAUGUAACAGAAGUCUAUUAUGAUGAAAAUAAUGAUCUCGGGACAAGGGAUACUUAAUGAUUUGGAAAUUUAAGUACAAAAUAAAUAUUCAUCCAUGUCCAACGGUAACUUUCAAGCUCUAACUGUUUCAUAUGGCUAACAGUGUUACCUGAAACGAGUAUCUCACUGUUUGGGCAGAAUGGUUCUCUUACUGGAAUUGUUCACAAAGCAACCUAUUAUGUGGCGAGAGGUACCCUCCGGGCACCAUUGAAAUUAAUAUGAAAGGAACAAUCAAGAAUGCCAAGUGCAGUGCAUAAAACGCAGUUAUAGAAAGAAGAUCCAUGACUCACAGAGACCGUAAAUGAAAUACGGCGUAGGUCACGUACAGAGGCCUCAAACUCAGCGCUUCAGACCAGAGCUCCUGGUGAGAAACAGGCUGCGCUGACACCUCAGCCCUCAGGCUGUGGGCGGAAAGCUGCGAUGGACACCUCAGAAGGCUGCACACGACCCUCAAUUCAAGAUGGUGGUGGCAGAGGGCCGUGUGCAGAGAGGCUGCACCUGGACCUGGAUCCAUCCAGGAAGGAACACUUGACCCAGGCAGGGUGAAGUCGGGUCGGCUGGAGAAUUUCUUCUUCUGGGUUCUCAAGGGGUCGAAGCUGCAGCAGCCUCAUUGCUCUAAGAUGAGUCUGCCUGAGAAAUGAUCAACACACGGAGAGGAUGGAGAGAGAAACAUAAGCCACAUUUUAAUUGUACCCUGAAGGCAACUCCAUCGCCAAAAAAAAAUGUG